CUCGUCAACCGUUGGUCUGAUUGGAGACAGGCUGGGUCCAGGCUCAGGACAGAGGCUCAGGACAGUGGGAUGGUCUUUAGCACCUCGUCAACCGUUGGUCUGAUUGGAGAGAGGCUGGGACAGAGGCUCAGGACAGUGGGAUGGGGUGGGGGUGACCAGGUAGCUGGAGGCUCAGGACAGUGGGAUGGUGUGGGGGUGACCAGGUAGCUGGAGGCUCAGGACAGUGGGAUGGUGUGGGGGUGACCAGGUAGCUGGAGGCUCAGGACAGUGGGAUGGUGUGGGGGUGACCAGGUAGCUGGAGGCUCAGGACAGUGGGAUGGUCUUGGGGUGACCAGGUAGCUGGAGGGUUGGAUGGUCUUGGGGUGACGAGGUAGCUGGAGGGUUGGGUGGUCUUGGGGUGAGGGUGACCAGGUAGGAGGAAGAACAAGCAAGCCUCCAUCAGUUUUGCAUAGAUUUGCACAACUCAUUUUUACUUGUAAUGCAACUAUGCAAAACUAGCAGAGAACUGCAAGAAAAAUACAGGGAGUGAUCUUGGUUGGUGGGAUGUUAGUUAGACCCUUAUGCCAGAAGGGGCACUUAGGGCAGUAGGUGCUAGUCUAUGUCACUAUCUGCACUAGAUGCACCUUAGCACAAAGACAUCAUGAAGUCAAGUCAAACCAUCAGGUCCUGGUCCAAGCAGGGUUCACCGGGGGUCAGCGGUAUUGCUAGAAGUGCCUCCAGAGCCUGGUCCAAGCAGGGUUAGGGUUCACCAGGGGUCAGCGGUAUUGCUAGAAGUGCCUCCAGAGCCUGAUCCAAGCAGGGUUAGGUUUCACCGGGGGUCAGCGUCAGCGGUAUUGCUAGAAGUGCCUCCACUGCAGUAGAUAUUCCAUAG
ensembl:lncRNA